UUAGGAAUAUUGCGCAAUGGACGAAAGUCUGACGCAGCGACGCCGCGUGGGUGAGGAAGGCCUUCGGGUCGUAAAGCCCUUUUAGCAGGGACGAAAAAUGACGGUACCUGCAGAAAAAGCACCUGCUAACUACGUGCCAGCAGCAGCGGUAAUACGUAGGGUGCGAGCGUUAUUCGGAAUCACUGGGCGUAAAGCGCAUGUAGGCGGUUUGGUUAGUCUGGUGUGAAAGACCAUGGCUCAACCAUGGAAGUGCAUUAGAUACUGCCAGACUGGAGUGCAGGAGAGGAGAGCGGAAUUCCCGGUGUAGAGGUGAAAUUCGUAGAUAUCGGGAGGAACAACAGAGGCGAAGGCGGCUCUCUGGACUGCAACUGACGCUGAGAUGCGAAAGCGUGGGGAGCAAACA
rnacentral:rRNA from 1 species